AGCGAACGCUGGCGGCAGGCCUAACACAUGCAAGUCGAACGAACUCUUCGGAGUUAGUGGCGGACGGGUGAGUGACACGUGGGAACGUGCCUUUUGGUUCGGAAUAACUCAGGGAAACUUGUGCUAAUACCGAAUGUGCCCUUCGGGGAAGGAUUAUCGCCAUUAGAGCGGCCCGCGUCUGAUUAGCUAGUUGGUGGUGU
rnacentral:rRNA from 1 species